GCAAACUUGGUCAUUUAGAGGAAGUAAAAGUCGUAACAAGGUUUCCGUAGGUGAACCUGCGGAAGGAUCAUUAUUGAAUAAACUUGGUUGGGUUGUUGCUGGCUCUUAGUAGCAUGUGCACGCUCACUCCAUUUUUAACCACCUGUGCACCUUGUGUAGAUUUGAAUACUGAGAAUCACUACUAUUAGUGAAUCUUGUAUUCAGGUCUAUGUUUUUAUAUACUCCAUAAAAACGUAUUUGAAUGUUAUGUAUAUUGGCCUUUGUGCCUUUAAAAGCAAUUAAAACAACUUUCAACAACGGAUCUCUUGGCUCUCGCAUCGAUGAAGAACGCAGC
rnacentral:misc_RNA from 1 species